GACGAACGCUGGCGGCGUGCUUAACACAUGCAAGUCGAACGAAGAGCGAUGGAAGCUUGCUUCUAUCAAUCUUAGUGGCGAACGGGUGAGUAACGCGUAAUCAACCUGCCCUUCAGAGGGGGACAACAGUUGGAAACGACUGCUAAUACCGCAUACGAUCUAACCUCGGCAUCGAGGAUAGAUGAAAGGUGGCCUCUACAUGUAAGCUAUCACUGAAGGAGGGGAUUGCGUCUGAUUAGCUAGUUGGAGGGGUAACGGCCCACCAAGGCGAUGAUCAGUAGCCGGUCUGAGAGGAUGAACGGCCACAUUGGGACUGAGACACGGCCCAGACUCCUACGGGAGGCAGCAGUGGGGAAUCUUCCGCAAUGGACGAAAGUCUGACGGAGCAACGCCGCGUGAGUGAUGACGGCCUUCGGGUUGUAAAGCUCUGUUAAUCGGGACGAAAGGCCUUCUUGCGAAUAGUGAGAAGGAUGGACG
rnacentral:rRNA from 1 species